rnacentral:rRNA from 1 species
ACUCCUACGGGAGGCAGCAGUGGGGAAUAUUGGACAAUGGGCGCAAGCCUGAUCCAGCCAUACCGCGUGGGUGAAGAAGGCCUUCGGGUUGUAAAGCCCUUUUGUUGGGAAAGAAAAGCAGUCGGUUAAUACCCGAUUGUUCUGACGGUACCCAAAGAAUAAGCACCGGCUAACUUCGUGCCAGCAGCCGCGGUAAUACGAAGGGUGCAAGCGUUACUCGGAAUUACUGGGCGUAAAGCGUGCGUAGGUGGUUGUUUAAGUCUGUCGUGAAAGCCCUGGGCUCAACCUGGGAAUUGCGAUGGAAACUGGGCGACUAGAGUGUGGCAGAGGGUAGUGGAAUUCCUGGUGUAGCAGUGAAAUGCGUAGAGAUCAGGAGGAACAUCCGUGGCGAAGGCGACUGCCUGGGCCAACACUGACACUGAGGCACGAAAGCGUGGGGAGCAAACAGGAUUAGAUACCCUGGUAGUCCACGCCCUAAACGAUGCGAACUGGAUGUUGGGUGCAAUUUGGCACGCAGUAUCGAAGCUAACGCGUUAAGUUCGCCGCCUGGGGAGUACGGUCGCAAGACUGAAACUCAAAGGAAUUGACGG